rnacentral:rRNA from 1 species
UACGAAGGGGGCUAGCGUUGCUCGGAAUCACUGGGCGUAAAGCGCACGUAGGCGGCUUUCUAAGUCAGGGGUGAAAUCCUGGAGCUCAACUCCAGAACUGCCCUUGAUACUGGAGAGCUUGAGUUCGGGAGAGGUGGGUGGAACUGCGAGUGUAGAGGUGAAAUUCGUAGAUAUUCGCAAGAACACCAGUGGCGAAGGCGGCUCACUGGCCCGAUACUGACGCUGAGGUGCGAAAGCGUGGGGAGCAAACAGG